rnacentral:misc_RNA from 1 species
UCUCCGUAGGUGAACCUGCGGAGGGAUCAUUACAGAGUUCUCGCCCCUCCGGGUCGAUCUCCCACCCACUGUGAUUGAUACUGUGUCGCUUUGGCGGGCCGCCGGGCCCUGCCCGUCCGCCGGCUCCGGCUGGCGCGCGCCCGCCAGAGGCUCCGCAAACUCUGAAUGCCAGUGUCGUCUGAGUACUAUAUAAUAGUUAAAACUUUCAACAACGGAUCUCUUGGUUCUG